rnacentral:misc_RNA from 1 species
AGACACUUACUCACACGGCGGUCGCCCCCUCCCCCCUUCCCACUCCCCCGGUGUGUGUGUGUGUGUGUGUGUGUGUCUCCGCUUGCUAGUACACCUCGAACGGUGGACGUUGUAAAUACAUCUCCCCCCUCUCGCGUGCUCCUCAGCCCCUUCACCUUAGCACACACGCAAGAAUGCAUUCAAGCACGAGGCAGCGGCUGCCUCCCAUCCAAACCAAUGUCGGUGAGGCGACAAGCCCAGCAUUCACGUUGUCGCCGUCGCCGUCGCGUUCGCAACUCUUCUCUCCUUCAGAUUGUCUGAUCGGCAACGAGCGGGCGUCGCGGGGUGCCUGCGAUGGCACCGGCGUCGGUGCCACGUGUUCGUCGCACCACUCGGAGACCGAGAAGAGCGCAGGGUCCCCACAGAGCGAGUGCAUCUCUACACUAUACUCGGCCAAUGCGACCACGGAGAUGCGCGCCACGCCAGCGGCGUCGUCCCUGGCACAGCCCUCCUCGUCGACGCCCCGCUCAGACUCGCUGUCGUGGCGCAGGGUGGCAGUACUAACGGCGGCGCCAUCCUCACCAACCAUCAUGAUGGUUCCCAACAACUCCUUCUUUGCCAGGAAGACGUGUGCCGCUUCUGCACCAGUAGCAGCAACAACCGCAGACGUGGCGGUUGUGCCGCUCCGCACGCACUCCCUCACGGCACGAAGGCCGCCGCAGCCACCCGCUCAGCGUGCCGCACCCGCACCCGCAGCAGCAGCGGCGGCGACAGCGCAGUCGAGCAAGGCGCGCCUGUCUCGACGACGAGACAGUGCGGAGGCGCGGGCGAGCGUGCUAGCCACGGCGCGGCACCGCCGCCUGCUGCCACUGACCGGCGCAAAAGGAGUAGAGCACGAAGGGGAGAAGGACGGCACUGCCGCGUCGGCCGUGCGUUUGGCGAGGGGAUCAGCGUUGGGGCGGUCUGUCUCGCUCUCGUCUGAACGGCAAGUGAGUGUAGACAGCUCUGCGCCUGCGCUAGGGAGUUUACUGUGCAGGGGGCGCAGUUCUCGCUCCUCUUCCCGGGCUCCGGCAACGCUGUCGGCGCCUCUGCCGGUCAACGAGGCUGUCGCCGAAGUUUCCAUCCUUGAGCAUGAGGCUGCUACUGGAGCGCUCGUGCGCGCUGCCAGUCCGCACUCCAGCGGCAGCCGGCUGAGCGACAACGCUUCGCCGCCGAGUGAGGGCGAAGCCACCGUAGGUUCACUGACGAGUCUCCAGCAGCGGCUGUGGGGUUGGACGGGGGGCACGACCACGUGCGUGCCCUCCACCACAGAACACGUUGUCGACGUGUCUGAGCCCCACCGAGGACAAGGGCGGCAAAGGUGUUUAAAAACGACGUCGUGCGUACCCACCGCACCGCUUGCUGCGAGCGCAGCAGCUUCUCCAGACAGCACCAAAGUGAGGGCGGCGGCGCGGUGGAAACUGGUGCUUGACAGCGAGCGCAUUCGUGGUGAGCAGGGUAAGCGCUUGGCGCACUUCUUAAUUCAGCGCCUGCUCGGCACCGUGACAGCAACGGGGCCUUUCGGCGGCGUGUUUGACCGCUUGGAGCACUUCACCCCAGAGAUGUGCGACGACGAAGUCGGCAGCGUCGUCAGCGGGGGCCACCUCCGCCCCCUCUGCGAGCGCGCGGUGGUGGCGACGUACCUCCUCAGCUCCCUCGUCGACGGUCUCCCGCGGCACCAGCAGAGCCUCAGCCCGUACAUCCGCAUGCUGGUCGAGUUCACGCUCGUGUCCGACACCCCGACAAACCGCGCCAUUCUGGGCGGCAGCGUGCAAGACGAGGAACUCCUCAACGCUCUUGAGCUGGACCGAAAGGAUGGCGGGGAUGGUGGUGACAGGGAGACGGUGGCUGCCGCCGCCGGGUUGCCGCCUGCUGUGACGGGGCAUGAGUCGGCCUCGUGGCUAUGCAGUGAGGUGCACCGCGGAAACCGCUUACCCUGCCACAUCGAUGACGGCCUCGGCAACGCCGCCGAUCUGUACGAACUGCUGUACCCGAGCUUCACACGAAUGACGUAUGUUGCCGCGCACUACGACGCCGCACGAACGACCGUGGAGCUCGCCCACGAGGUGCGGUCUCUCGAGCUGCAUCAGCGCAACGUACCACGUCUGAUCGAAUGCACGCACCGGCACUGGAUGCGGUGCCUCAUGCAUGCGGUGCUGCGCGCGUGGAAGCGCUUGUGCCACGAGAGAAAGGUGCAGGAACAGCGUCAGCGCGCCCGCUGGGCGGAGCGUUGGACGUGCGAGUGGGUGCGUAUUGCCCUGCGACGCUGGCGUGGAUACGGGGCACUGACGCUGCAGAUUGCCGAGGCCGACAGCUUGGCAAAGGCCCUCCUGGCGAAGAAGCGCGCCGACAUUGAGCGGCUGGAGAACGAGUCUGCAUCGAUGCAGGCCUCCUGCGCAGUCCUUCAGAACACCCUGCACCGCCAAGAUGAGGAGCGCGACGCUGUCGAGGGGGUCACUGUGCAGCGGGAGCAGGUGUACAAAAAGCUGCUGCAACACGUCCGCGAGAUCGACCGUGUUGGAUCGCUCAUGCUGCGCUCGCUGCUGCUGCCUGAAGCUCCGCCAGUGCUGGACGAGGCGCACGCCUUGAACGGCCUCUCGGUGGCGGUGAGCACCACCUCUGGCGGUGAUGACCGAAGCUCCUCGGCACUGUCGCCCAACAUGUCGCAGGCUAAUCUGGGCUGCUCUGCAGCGACAUCGCCCCUAUCAACGGCAAGCGAAGAGUCGGUGGUCCGGCAUCCACCGCACACACUGGUAGCACUGCCGACGCUGCUGCAGUGGGCCCAGGCAUGCGUCGAUACAGUGCAGACCGAGUACGUCUCCUUCUUCCCUGACGACGAAGGCGAAGACGACGACGACGAUGUUGCCGAGGUGGCGGCCGAAGGCAGCGGCAAAGGUGUCACCACGGGUCAGAAGCCCGAGGAGGCAAAGGAUGUGGUGCGGGAAAGCGUCGGUCUCCGCGACAAGUGCAUCACUUCUGCAUCGCCACGCCUGCAGGCCAAGCGUGACAGCGCCACACCGGAUGCGCCCUCUACGAGCGAGAUGCCAGUGCCGCGCGCGACUUCUACAGAUAGGGCGAGCAACGCGAGUAAAAAGGAAGUUACGCGCGGCCCCCUCACCGGUCUCGAGAUGCUACUCAAUCCUGCCGCCGCAGAGGUGUCGGCGUCGAGGACGAGAUCGAUCGCAGCAUCUGACACUGUUCUGGUGCCGCUGCACAUGAUUCUCUUGCUAAUGCGGGGCUGCUGCGGGGCAGAGGAUGGAUCAAGGGUGGCUGGCCACGACAGGCACGACGCUCUCGCCACAACGACAACGACGUCGGUGGCCAUCACCGGCGCGGCCGACGCGUCGCUGACCGACCGUGGCGGUGCUGCCACUGUCACGGUCCCCUCGUGGGAUCUCGUGCGCACCAUCGAGCUUGCCGACAGAGUCAUCCUGGACGAGUGCCAUACGCUGCUCCGCAAAGCGGAGCAGCUGGCGGACAUCGACGGUGGCUGCGGUAGUGCAGCAGUAGCAAGUGCCGCGCAUGAAGAGCGCCGGCCGCCGACCCCGUCGACCUCUGGAGAGGCCAGCAACGGUCUCGCCAGUGUGUCCGCCUCUGGCGUCUCCAUCAUGUACAGCCUCUCCUCCUCCACAAGAAAGAACCUGCAGCAGGUGUGCCGCGUCGUCGUUGACACGUAUGAGCAGCUCACCGGCACUGCGUGCAUUGUCACGGCCGAUCAGCUGUUCGAGAGGUCGCGCGGCACGCUGCUGGUGCUGAUAGCGGCCCUCAUGCGCUACUAUACGAGCUGGUCCACGCGCCACAGACAGCAACUCGCGCCUCUGUCCAUCAAAGGCAAGCGGACCAAUCUCCCCGCCUCGACGGCCGCCGCACAUGAAGGGAAGAGGCACAGGCUGAACGAUGAGUGGUCGCACCCACCGCACAGCCACCGUGGCUGGCUGGAACAGGUUCGACGCCAAGCACAGUGGAUCGCCCUGUCCUUUAGUGCUCUGCACGAUGCCGUUCGCUUCGCCAAACGCUCGGUCAGCGUCCUCAGCAUUAUCGAGCAAGAGCGCGUCGCGAGGCUGCUCCAGCGGAUCUCGCUGACAGAGUUCAUUGACAUCCUGUGCCAGUCGCCAGACCACACAAUGCAGAGCUAUGUGGACAUCAUCGGCGUCGUCGAGCGGUACGCACCGUCGCUGGACCUUGUCUUCCAUCAGUACGCCGUCCCCCUGGCGCAGUUGUGUGCCAGCAGCGAGGCGACCACGAACACCCCCACUCAAUGCGGCGACGUCAAAGACGACGGCGACGCAUACAUCACAGGCAACACCGUAUGGAGUCUUCUGUGCCUCACUUGUCUUGCCGGCAAGGCGCCGCGCUUGUCUGGAGCGUCCUCGAAGGGAAGAGCGUCAUUGGCGUCGCUAAAGCUGGCCAUCCCAUCGCCGCCGCUUCCCGCAACGCUGCAUCGUCCAGCGGUGUUCAGCCUCAUCGAGCAUGUGGCACAAGGUAGCGUCGCGUCCACCGGGAUGCAGAGGCCACGCUCGUCGAUGCGGAGCUUCAGUGGGGUCACUGCCUCACUUCCAACGGCAAGCUCCAUUGCUAGCUCACCAGAAAAAACAAUGUUGCCGCCGCGCACGAAGUUCGCACGCGCGGUGUCGGUGAGCCGCAAGGGUCGUCCCAUCCCCUGCUAUGCCCGAGCACUGCGCGAUGACCGCCACGUCGACCUGCGCCCUGACACCGGGGCCGUGUGCGUCAACUACGUGCAGUUCGUGAAGCUCGUCAUCCGUCUUGCCCAUGCAUGGCAGUGCCAGCAGCAGCAGCAGCCGCUGAUGGCGAAAGAAAAGGCGCUGCAUCGUGCGGAGACCGGCGAGGAGGGCGGUAAGCGUGCCACCAGAAGUCUCAUGGGCAUGUCAAGUAGUUCCCCACUCACUGGUGCGGCUGCAUCCGCCCGCAGCAGCCUCGCGUCCUCCACCGUCGACAACAACGGCUAUAGCGACCAAGUCCACUACGAAGCCAUCGACUACGCGAGCCCGCUCUGCCCCUCGUACUUCGAUACAUUCUUGGGUGGGCUGCUGCUGCCACGCCUGCUAGGCGCGAACCGCUGGAUCGGCGCGGCGCAGCGCGCCUUUUGGCGCAAGCCAGUCCUCGAGCUGCUCGCACAGAAUCACGAUGCGCUGCUGACGGUGUUCAACACGUAUCAGCAACCAUGCGAAAGCCGAGGCGUUCGUGCGGCACUGCCGCCUCCGUUCUCGGCCAUACUGGCCUCACAAGUCUUCACGAAAACCGUCGACACUGAGCAGCACUCGACGACCUCGCUGGUAGCCGACGGCGGACACAGGCUGAGCCACGUGGAGUACCCCUCCCUGGUCCACGCCAUAAGCGGUAACAGCCAAAUCGGCGGCACGGCCACGGGAACAUGGCCGACGGGGAAGAAGGGGUCUGACGAGUUGCCCAUCAAACCAGACUUCAACCAGCGAAGGUUCCCCAGCAGCCGGUCGCAUCCCGGAUCCGUUUCCGGUGCGCGUGACGUGGGCAUUGUGAGCGUGCUGCGCUGGAAGAAUGUGAAAGAAAUGGCAAAGGACCUCGAGUGGCACCGCGAGGCGCGCCUGACGGAGGCUGGGAUACAGCAUUGUUUUGACCAUGUCGUGGCCGACAGCGCGCGUGAAGGCGAAGUGCUGUUCUUUGCCGAGUUCCUUCAGCUACUGUGCGCCAUCGCCGCCUACGCCGCACCGGACCCGACAGUGCCGCUUGAGGUGAAGCUCCAUUCGUUUCUCCAAAUCCGCGUGCUGGCUCUGCUAGAGUAAGCAGAUGGCGGAGGGGGAGAGGUGGCGCUGGAAGCGCGCUGCCAAUCAACUCCGCCCCUCUCUCCCUUCCUCCCCUCUCGCGCCCCGGCACCCGCCCGGUGCCGUGGAGUCCGUCAG